AGUUGAUGGUGUGGACAGUCCCUACGAAGAGCCUUGAAACUCUCCCAAGCAUGAUAAAGAUUCUCAUCUGGUUUCUGUUUGAAUCACACUAUCUUACUGUGAAGUCU
rnacentral:snoRNA from 1 species